ACUCCUCGGGAGGCAGCAGUGGGGAAUAUUGCACAAUGGGCGCAAGCCUGAUGCAGCCAUGCCGCGUGUGUGAAGAAGGCCUUCGGGUUGUAAAGCACUUUCAGUUGUGAGGAAGGUGGUGUCGUUAAUAGCGGCAUCAUUUGACGUUAGCAACAGAAGAAGCACCGGCUAACUCCGUGCCAGCAGCCGCGGUAAUACGGAGGGUGCGAGCGUUAAUCGGAAUUACUGGGCGUAAAGCGCAUGCAGGUGGUUUGUUAAGUCAGAUGUGAAAGCCCGGGGCUCAACCUCGGAACUGCAUUUGAAACUGGCAGACUAGAGUACUGUAGAGGGGGGUAGAAUUUCAGGUGUAGCGGUGAAAUGCGUAGAGAUCUGAAGGAAUACCGGUGGCGAAGGCGGCCCCCUGGACAGAUACUGACACUCAGAUGCGAAAGCGUGGGGAGCAAACAGGAUUAGAUACCCUGGUAGCACAGAG
rnacentral:rRNA from 1 species